rnacentral:rRNA from 1 species
AUUGAACGCUGGCGGCAGGCCUAACACAUGCAAGUCGAGCGCGCGGCGGACGCGUGUGAAAUAUAUGGGGGCUGCCCGAUAGAGGGGGAUAACUCCUGGAAAAGGUGGCUAAAAUCCCAUACUGCAUCAUAAUCCCUAUGUGAUUAGCUAGUAGGUAUGGGAAUGGCUUACCUAGGCGACGAUCCCCAGCUGGUAUGAGAGGAUGAUCAGCCACACUGGAACUGAGACACGGCCCAGACUCCUACGGAGGCAGCAGUGGGGAAUAUUGCACAAUGGGCGCAAGCCUGAUGCAGACAUGCCGCGUGUAUGAAGAAGGCCUUAGGGUUGUAAAGUACUUUCAGUGGGGAGGCGUUACCGACAGAAGAAGCACCGGCUAACUCCGUGCCAGCAGCCGCGGUAAUUC